AACACACACACACUCUUUGUCUGUCUAAAUUUUGUUGUUGUAAACUUGUAAAUUUAUUCGGUGCUUACGAUUGCACCAUAUGCUGUAUCAUUGUAUUAGAUUGUCCUUUUUCCCCCUUUUGCGCGACUUGUCGAUUUUGUGUCCUUUGUUAUAUUUAUCAGAAAUCAGAAUUAGUGGUUGGUUGAAUUUGUUGAAUAAAUCAAUGAUAUCAAUUCAGCAAUUCUCAAUGGUUGUGGUAUAAUUUUGGUCAAAUGUAUCAUUAUUAGGUUAGUAUAUUUUCUUCAGAAUUUUUUUGUUUUUCGGUGCCUGGGAUCCUUUUAGCAUAAUGUGAGCUUACAGGAAUACGAAUAUGCAACUGUUGAAUGAAUUAAUACAACACUGCAGAUCUCUCACCAUGAGUAAUGAGAGGCUUUAUUCUAAUUGGUCCCAACAAAGUUUAGAUUGGUCCUAGCCUGGAAAAAAGGGGCAUCUGGUGGACACAAACUAACUAAUGCUUGAGUUGAAAUACUGUUAUUGACUGCAGUAUUCAAAGAGUACAUACUAUAGCAAUUGCUACUAAUAAUUCUUAACCACUCCAGAAACAACUUAUAUUGAUAUGCAAAGGGAACUACAAUGAUGAAAUUAACAGAGUGCAGGAGAUAACAACUGAAAGAAGGAGAUGAGAAUUAGAAUUACAGAGAUGUAGAUAAGAGGAGAAUAUUCUCAAUAACUUUUACCUAACUUUUCCUGAUCCACUACCAACCCUUAUAUAACCAACUCCUAUAACUACACCACUUUACACUACAUAAUCACGUAAUUCUGAAGGCAUUUGUCUCACUCGUUUGCCCCUUACCAUAUUGUCCUUAAUAACAUCUUCUGUGGACUCCACAUCAACACCUAACUAGUAAGCCCAAGCAACAGGUUCAUUUGGUGAUUCUUGAUUCAUAACGUUACCCCAUUUCCAAAGGGAACCUUGUUCUCAAGGUUUAGUACUUUAGUCCGUUACGUCUUUCAUAAUGAACAAAAUCAGUCAAGUGAAGUGGUGUAAUCUGAUUAUCUGAUUGCCCUGAACAUUUUCUAAACAGUGAUAUAUGAAAGACUGGGUGAAUUUUUGCAGCUAUUGGCAAUUCUAAUUUAUAUGCCACUUCUCCAAUUCUUUUGAGAACACGAAAUGACCAAAGUACUUUCUUCCCCAUUUCUGUUGUCUUUGAAGUCGAAUUGACGCUUGACUGUAUGACUUGAGCUUCACAAACCCAAUCUCCUACCUCAAAGUUCAGUUCUGUU
rnacentral:lncRNA from 1 species